rnacentral:rRNA from 1 species
CCCUUAGACGUUCUGGGCCGCACGCGCGCUACACUGACCGGUGCAACAAGCAUCCGUCCUUGGCCGAUAGGUCUGGGUAAUCUUUGAACGCUGUUCGUGAUUGGGAUAGACCUUUGCAAUUAUGGGUCUUCAACGAGGAAUUCCUAGUAAACGCAAGUCAUCAGCUUGCAUUGAUUACGUCCCUGCCCUUUGUACACACCGCCCGUCGCACCUACCGAUUGAAUGGUCCGGUGAAAUCUCGGGACGGCGGCUUGGUCGCUUGCGUCCGACUGCUGAAACUUGAUUAAACCAUAUCAUUUAGAGGAAGGUGAAGUCGUAACA